rnacentral:rRNA from 1 species
UAGGGAAUAUUGCGCAAUGGGGGAAACCCUGACGCAGCAACGCCGCGUGAGUGAGGAAGGUCUUCGGAUUGUAAAACUCUUUUAUUUGGGAAAAAUGUCUUAACGGUUAAUACCCGUUAGGAGUGAUGGUACCAAAGGAAUAAGGACCGGCUAACUUCGUGCCAGCAGCCGCGGUAAUACGAAGGGUCCAAGCGUUGUUCGGAAUCAUUGGGCGUAAAGCGCGCGCAGGCGGAUUGAUAAGUCAGGUGUGAAAUCUCGGGGCUCAACCUCGAAACUGCGCCUGAAACUAUUAGUCUAGAAUGUCGGAGGGGGCAGGGGAAUUUCACGUGUAGGGGUAAAAUCCGUAGAGAUGUGAAGGAACACCGGGGGCGAAGGCGCCUGCCUGGACGACUAUUGACGCUGAGGCGCGAAAGCGUGGGGAGCAAACAGG